CUGUUCAAUGUGUGACGGUAUCUUACCAGAAAGGAACGGCUAAAUACGUGCCAGCAGCCGCGGUAAUACGUAUGUUCCAAGCGUUAUCCGGAUUUAUUGGGCGUAAAGCGAGCGCAGACGGUUAUUUAAGUCUGAAGUGAAAGCCCUCAGCUCAACUGAGGAAUUGCUUUGGAAACUGGAUGACUUGAGUGCAGUAGAGGAAAGUGGAACUCCAUGUGUAGCGGUGAAAUGCGUAGAUAUAUGGAAGAACACCAGUGGCGAAGGCGGCUUUCUGGACUGUAACUGACGUUGAGGCUCGAAAGUGUGGGUAGCAAACAGGAUUAGAUACCCUGGUAGUCCACACCGUAAACGAUGAGUGCUAGGUGUUUGAGGGUUUCCGCCCUUAAGUGCCGCAGCUAACGCAUUAAGCACUCCGCCUGGGGAGUACGACCGCAAGGUUG
rnacentral:rRNA from 1 species